AGAAAAUCCUCAGGCAAUUCGUUAUGAAUAUAUGUUUCUGGUCAUUUACAAGUCAAAAAAAUUGAGCAGGGCACUCAUGAUCAGCAAAGGAGAACCUGGACCAAGUGUUGCCUGAGGAUGAAUGCUAACAAACCAGCCAUGAAGAAACUGGAUGUUGCGAGGGAGCUGGAAGCACCACGUAUGCUCUUGAUGGUCCCUUGAAUCUUAAGGAACCCAGUAAAUGAGACAAAUCCAGUGACUCAGACUGUUCAGAGAUGUCAUCUUACACCUCUGGAGCAGGUUGGGGACUUGAACCUAGGCCUCCUGGUUCAGACCAAUAGCAUUCCAUUGAGAUGAAACUAACGAGGAACGUCAUGACAGUAAUUGUUCACAGACCAUUCAAGAUGAAGAUUAGAAUCAAGAUCAAAACAAUCAUCACUCCAAAGAUCCACCAGUCUUCCAAGUCCAAAAAAAAAACACUUUCCAGAAGGAUUAUGAGAUGCUGAGAUUGCUCCGAAUUUGAAUUUGAGUUUGAAUUUGUGAAGUCAGAGAUUUUGGAGUGUAUUGGUAGGGAUAAAUAUAGUACAGUUAUAUACAUUAAUGUAUUCUGGGUUAAAACUAAAGGAAAACUAAAGGAAGAUGUUAUACAAAAUAAUCAUUCCAAAAGAUUAAUGUUUGAGGUAUACUGACCUCUGCCCAGUCUGUGCUGUACACAGCCUCUGGGUGAAGAAUCAGCUAGAGUCUAGUCACAUGUCUAAGAAUGAA